GACGAACGCUGGCGGCGUGCCUAACACAUGCAAGUCGAACGAGAAUCUUUGGAAUGAUUCUUUCGGGAUGAAUUCCAAAGAGGAAAGUGGCGGACGGGCGAGUAACGCGUGAGUAACCUGCCCAUAAGAGGGGGAUAAUCCAUGGAAACGUGGACUAAUACCGCAUAUUGUAGUUAAGUUGCAUGACUUGAUUAUGAAAGAUUUAUCGCUUAUGGAUGGACUCGCGUCAGAUUAGAUAGUUGGUGAGGUA
rnacentral:rRNA from 1 species